UGCCUGGGGAGAUAGCCUCUCAGCUCUGAGGAACUGCUCCCUAGAGGUAGGGGGAGAAGUUAGUGUUAUGUAUGAUUUUAGUGAAGGGGGAUAUGUGCAGUCAAGCACACCUUUUGUCAGAGGGUUGCUGCUAGUCACGAGGAGCAGGUAGGUGUCUCCAUUAAUGAUUUUAGUGCUUUUCUAGAUAUGAGAAGAUGCAAGAAAUUGGGCUCAUAAAAUCUUCUGAAAAUAUCUAUCUGAAGGCCUGUUUUCCCCAAAGCACAGGGUGCCUCAUUCCUGAUCUCCACUCUGAACUCCUUUCAAGGUGUGUUGAAAGUCAGUGACUGCAGUGGCUAGUGACUUCACUCUUAUACACUAGAGCCAGAUAGUAAGCGACAAUUUUUAGUUGCCAGUAAAUAGGGUCUUUACAGAGGUAAUAUGAUUAAAUGAGGUCAUUAGGGAGGGGCCUAAUCCACUUUAGCUGGUGUCUUUAUAAAGAGAUUGGGAAACACACACCCAGAGGAAAGAUGACGUGAAGACAGGAGAUGGUCAUCUACGUGCCAAGGAGAAAGGCCUCAGAGUAAACAACCCUGCCCACAUCGUGAUCUCCCAACUUGUCUCUAGAACCGUGAGAAACUUUUCUGUUGUUUAAACCACCCAGUCUCUGGUACUGUACUUUGUUUUGGCGGCUCUAACUAAAUGAGUGCAUAACAUUAAAAAUUUGUUAUUUUGGUGGAUACUGAACUUGUAACUUUAUUUUCUAAUUAGUGAAGUUGCACAUUUUCUCUUGUGACUUGUCCAUUCAUACCUUAUUGCUUUUCUGUACAGUUCUCUUUUGUCUUAUUUUCGUGCAGUUAAACCUAUUCCAUCUUUACCUCUGUCAAGUUUGUAAACUGAGAAAUUCCUUUCUUCUUCAGAGGAACUCUUUGAAAUGUUUUAAAUUUUUCUUCAGUUUUCUUUAAAAAGGCAACUCUUUUAUCCAUCUGGAAUUUUGGUAUAUCAUGUGAGGUGAAAUUCUUUUGCUUUUUUUUCUCCAUGUCAUUUACUGGUUAUCCUAACACAAUUUAUGGAAUAACUUUUUUUUUUGGCUGCACUGUGCAGCACAGGGGAUCUUAGUUCCCUGGCCAGGGUUCAAACUCGUGCCUCCUGCAAUGGAAGCAGAGUCUUCACCACCACCAGGGAAGUCCCCUCUUCUCUUUUUUAAAUGAUUUUUGGAUACUGCUUUAAAUAAACUAUGUAUACACUACUGUUUACACUCUAUUAUUCUAGUCUUAUCCCUCACACAUCACAAUUUUGAUAUUUGCAGCUUUAUAAAGAUUGGGAUUAAUUCCUUUUUCAUUAUAUUUAAAAAAUUUUCCAUUAUCAUGUAUUCUUCUAGAUUUGCUUUAUAAUUAUUAUAUGGAGUAUCACUACCUGAACCACAAUUGGUACAAAUUGAAUUUAAAGAACCACCAAUCCAUUAGUGAAAUAGUAACUAAUCUAUCCACUUUACUAAACUGAUUAAAAGUUGAGUCCUUUGUAUUAAAAUUUAUCUAUUUACAUGUCUCUUAGGUCCUGAGACUGCUCCCAUGGAGUAGACAGUGUCCGAUGUCCUUUGUAUCCAAACCUGGAAGAAGCUCAAUAAAUUCCUUACUAGUUUUAGUUGUUCAAACAACAAAAAAACAUGUCUUCAGAAAUACCCACCAUAGAGAUUAAGAAUGUGUUGCUAAAUGGAUUUGGAAAUUUCCAAGUUCAACCAAGUUUUUGAAUUUCAGAGACAAGGUCACAGGCCGAUAAACGAGAGGCAAAUGGACGCAGUUUCCAGACUGCCAGACCCCAAUUACCAGGCAGCCUGACGCCAGCUAUGACUGUUUUGAAAUAAUGCAAAGGAAAGGAAGCAUGCAAGACCUUCACUACUUUGAUCCUUACCAUAUACCCCGGGCUGUGAGCCCCACAUCUAAAAUCUCCCGAUUCCCAAGGAGGGGGGGCACAGUUGAGGUGCUAGCUUGCUGUCUUCCCUUCUGCCUAGCAGAAAAAUAAAGCCAUCUCUCUCUUCCUCCAAAA